rfam:Mus musculus chromosome 4 genomic contig MG3618_PATCH, GRC reference assembly FIX PATCH for GRCm38.
GUCUAUGACCAUACUACCCUGAAUGUGUCUGCUCCUGUCUGGUCUCAGAAGCUAAGCAGAGUUAGGCCUGGUUGGUACUUGGAUGGGAAGCUAUCAUAUCGGUUAGACC